rnacentral:miRNA from 1 species
AAAACCUUCAGAAGGAAAGGA